rnacentral:snRNA from 1 species
GUGCUUGCUUCAGCAGCACAUAUACUAAAAUUGGAAUGAUACAGAGAAGAUUAGCAUGGCCCCUGGGCAGGGAUGACAUGCAAAUUUGUGAAGCAUUCCAUAUUU